CCCAAGGCUGGGGUGGGGUCCGGCAGCGCCCCCUUGGGGGCAGGCUGGGCUUCGGGGCCGCCGCCGGGCCUCGGUCAGGGCGCCCCCAUUAGACUGGGCAGGAGAGAUGGCAGAGGGGAGCCCGGUGCGCUCGGCAGGGUUCCAGCGCGGGACCGUACCUUUGUGGCGGAUGCUCCGCUUCCAGUCCUUGGCCGUCUCGCGGCCGCUGACGAACUGGAACUCGUUGGGAGUGAGCCACUCUCCGCGGUAGCGGAUGGAGGGGCCCUUGCUGCCCUGGCACAACUUGUGCACGUAGAGCAGUGCGCGGUUGUCGCCACACUCCACCUCGAUGCACGGCUCGCCGUGGUCCAGGAAGGGCUGGAAGUCGGGUGCCGCCGAGAAGCGCUCCAGAGCCAGCUCGUCUGGGGGCAGCGGCAGCGGCCGGUGCGCCCGGGGCAGGCUCAGGUAGGCGCGCGGGGGGUGGAGGUGGAGGUGGGGCGGCGGGGGCGGGGGAGGCGGGGGCGGCGGCGGCUGCGGGGGGGGCGCAAAGAGAGGCUCGUAGCCCCGCCGGGGGGGGCCGUGCGGGGAGGGGGGGGGGGGGGGGGAGGAGACAGACAGACAGACAGAAGAGACAGAGAGAGAAGAGACCGACCGAGAGAAGAGACCGAGAGAGAGAGAGAGAGAGAGAGAGAGAGAGAGAGAGAGAGAGAGAGAGAGAGAGAGAGAGAGAGAGAGAGAGAGAGAGAGAGAGAGAGAGAGAGAGAGAAAAGCAGAAGGUCCCGGAGAAAACAAAGGACUAACCCCCCUAGCUAAACCCCCUCUGGAGACUGGAUUCCGCUCUGUGGGCUACAUUUAUGAAGAGCACUGCUGAGCCUGAGGGUGUCUGGAGCAAGGACAGGAUGGGGUCCUUUCCAUUCCAGAAUAAUAAUAGCUAAGAUGUAUAUGGUAUCUCUGCUAAGUGCUGUAUCCCUCUUAUCUCACUGAUCCUCACCACAACCCUAGGAGGGGGGUGCUGUGAUUAUCCCCCUUUUACAGACGAGGAAACAGAAGCCAAUGGAAGUGAAGUGACUUGCCCAGGGACACACAUAAAUGUCUGAGGUCAGAUUUGAACUCAGGUCUUCCUGAUUCUAGACCCUGUGCUCUAUCUACUGUAACAGCAGUUGCCCAUUUACCAAGUACUUAAGUAACCAAAGUGCCAGUAUUGUGAUAGGUAUGGUAUACAGCUAGGAGGCGUGGUGGAUAGAGUGCCAGGAUUGGAGUCAAGAAAACUCAUCUUUCUGAGUUCAAAACCAGCCUCAGGCACUCAGUAGCUGUGUGACCCUGGACAAGUCACUUUACCUAGCUGGCCAAAGUUUUUCUCAUCUGGAAAAUGAGCUGGAGAAAGAAAUGAGAAACCACUUUAGUAUCCUGGAUCAGAAGACUCCAAAUGGGUUCACGGCUGAGAAAUGACUGAAUACAAAUGAACUAGUCUGUGUCCCUCUGCAGGGGACAAGAUACAAAUAAAAGAUAAAUACGGGGUGAUCUGCA
rnacentral:lncRNA from 1 species